rnacentral:siRNA from 1 species
AGCCAUGCAUCUGGUUGUUGCGGC